GACAGAGGGUGCAAACGUUGUUCGGAAUUACUGGGCGUAAAGCGCGUGUAGGCGGCCCUGCAAGUCGGAUGUGAAAUCCCACGGCUCAACCGUGGAAGUGCAUUCGAAACUGCAGGGCUAGAGUCCUGGAGAGGAAGGUGGAAUGCUUGGUGUAGAGGUGAAAUUCGUAGAUAUCAAGCGGAACACCGGUGGCGAAGGCGGCCUUCUGGACAGUGACUGACGCUGAGA
rnacentral:rRNA from 1 species